rnacentral:rRNA from 1 species
UACGAAGGUGACAAGCGUUGUUCGGAAUCAUUGGGCGUAAAGCGCACGUAGGCGGGUUUGUAAGUCGAUUGUGAAAACCCUGGGCUCAACCCGGGAACUGCAGUCGAAACUACAAGUCUUGAAUGCUCGAGAGGAUGGUGGAAUUCCAGGAGUAGAAGUGAAAUUCGUAGAUAUCUGGAGGAACACCGGAGGCGAAAGCGGCCAUCUGGCGAGACAUUGACGCUAAGGUGCGAAAGCGUGGGGAUCAAACAGG